rnacentral:misc_RNA from 1 species
CAUCGGCACGAUCUGGGAGCAGCAGCUUCCGCAUCGCGUGCGCGACCUCGCCGCUUUCAUCGACUUUGAUGCCUCCAAUCACCAGACGCUGGAAGAUCAGAGCUCGCAUUCGCGAUCAAGACAGCACCGAAACUCACGAUUCAGGGCGGCACCACCGAAGUCUUGCGUGGCAUCAUCGCGCGCGGGCUUGGCCUGCGUUAACAAAUCGACAUCGAACGAGGAAAAUUCAUG